GCUAAUGUGGCAUAGUGGUUUCAGAGCUCAGCUACAACUCUGGAGACCAGGGUUCAAUUCCCAGCUUGGCCA